AUUGAACGCUGGCGGCAUGCUUUACACAUGCGAGUCGAACGGCAGCGCGGGCUUCGGCCUGGCGGCGAGUGGCGAACGGGUGAGUAAUACAUCGGAACGUGCCCAGUAGUGGGGGAUAGCUCGGCGAAAGCCGGAUUAAUACCGCAUACGACCUGAGGGUGAAAGCGGGGGAUCUUCGGACCUCGCGCUAUUGGAGCGGCCGAUGGCAGAUUAGCUAGUUGGUGGGGUAAGGGCCUACCAAGGCGACGAUCUGUAGCUGGUCUGAGAGGACGACCAGCCACACUGGGACUGAGACACGGCCCAGACUCCUACGGGAGGCAGCAGUGGGGAAUUUUGGACAAUGGGCGAAAGCCUGAUCCAGCAAUGCCGCGUGUGUGAUGAAGGCCUUCGGGUUGUAAAGCACUUUUGGCGGGAACGAAAAGGACUGUGCCAAUACCACGGUUCGAUGACGGUACCCGCAGAAUAAGCACCGGCUAACUACGUG
rnacentral:rRNA from 1 species